AUUUAUUUCUCUCUAUUAAAUAUUUACACUCCCCUUUCUCAAACCCAUACUCUCGUCCCUUCUUUACAAUCAGUUCUCUCUCCACAACCACAACUCACACCACCAUCGGUCCUCCUCUCCCACAACUCUGAAAGUCUUCUCUACCCUUUUCCUUCCCUCAAAAACCCAACUCUGAAAUUUUUUCUAAAAACUAAAACUAAAACCUGUAACAUGCGACUCGGACUUUGACUCAGGGUUGCUAGGAACACAACCCAGCAGAUUGGUAGUAGAUUGAGUUUGAGAAGAAACUAUGGGGUCAAAGAUAAUAAAUUUGAGGUGGAUGCCUAGGCUCUUAUGCUCAAGGGUGUGAAGGAAGCUUACUUAUGUUAUCAAGGUGGUGACAGCCUUCUAAUCAGCUCCCACCAAGCUUGACGUUCCCGUCUAAAAAAAAAAAAAACCAAUUAGGCCAAAAAAAUUACUUUUAUCCUCACCUUCACACAAGUUAACUUUUAAAAACCCACACGGUUGAAGAUAAAGAACAGAGUCCUGCCUUCACUAGCCUGCCACCACCGGUCAGUCAGCAAAACCACUACUGGUAAAACUAAUUUCUUGCAUUUUCCCCUUUCAGUUGUAAUACUUGGGAUUUUCUUUCUUAAUCUUCUUCUCUUCUGAGUGAGAGUUUGUUUGUGUAAUUUGGGUGGCUCAAUUUCUUUUUCCUUCCCCUCGAUGUUCACACUGUCACGUUACCGUAUUGUGCUUUUUCCUGAGACUUCGUAAGGGUGUGGAGAGAGUUUAGAAGGCUGUCACCACCGGUCUACUGUCACCGUCAGAUGGCUAGAACCACUGCAGGUAAAGAUAAAUUCUGAUGAUGGGUUUCAUUGGUAAUAAAAAGAGAUAUUUGGAUGACUAGUCUAAAGUUUGAAGAUUUCAAGAAUUGCAAGAUGAUAACAUGUACAUUUUGUGGGUAAAGGUUGCUGGCCAAAUCUGGUGUGGCAUGGGGUUACAUUCAUGAGGUAUCAUGGUGACAUUCCAUCUUUGUUUGUAUGAUCAUCUCUAAUAAGCUUGGCUAUAUACCAUUGUAACUUGUCAUGUUGUAGAACUUUUAGAGGUCAACAUGAAUGAUUACUGUUAGGUUUUGAAUCUGUUGAUGAAAGUUUAAUUUGAGUGUUUUCAAUUUGUCAAUAGAAUGUUCAGAUUUCUAACCAAAGGUUGGUAAAACUUUCAAACACAUGGAAGGGAUAUAGUUUACUGCUUAUGCAGUCUUAUGUUGUAAAAUCACCAUAACCAUGAAUCACUUGGAAGUUUUGAGGAAUUUUCUGGUGGGAUCUUUUGAUUUUUGGGAAGCACCGCCUCACUUGUCUGUACUUUUUUUUGUCCCCCCACCCUCCCUUCUUUUUAAGAAAGAUUGGCAGGAUUUUUAUGUUAUGCUUAAGGCAAGCUUAAAUACUAUUUUUAUUUGUAAUAUCACUAUGAGAUUUUUUUGUUCCAUAAUGCAUGAGGCGAACUGUAGGUAGGAAAGGUUUGGUAGUUAUUGGAGGAAAAUCCCUAUAACUUGGAAACUAAAUAGAGCUCUCUUAUCAAUUUGAUUGAUUAUCAAGUUGGCUUUUCAUUUCACUAUAUCUGCUCUGCCGCAGAUGUGUAUUUAUUCUUUUUAAAAAGGCUUUGAUUGCAUUGUUUUUUCUUUGACAUUUUGGCCAUUUGAGUGACUUGAUGUGCUUGUAGCCUAAUGGUAUUCAAAAAUUAUGAAAUGGACAUGUGUCACGAAAGAUAGCCUCUUCAUGGUGAAAUUUAUGCAAAUUGAUAUGAAGACGAAGCUACUUUUCAAAAAAACAUAUAUGAUGACAAAGCUAAGGCCCUUUAUUCACACAUUUUUAAAAGAAGAAAGUGAAAUGUUUGAGAUGUACAUUUAUACAAUGAGUGAUCACCUAUCGGCACUAUGCAAUGUAAAUGGCUAAGCUACUUGAUCCUUCACUAUGAGAUUUUUUUGUUCCAUAAUGCAUGAGGCGAACUGUAGGUAGGAAAGGUUUGGUAGUUAUUGGGGGAAAAUCCCUAUAACUUGGAAACUAAAUAGAGGCUCUCUUAUCAAUUUGAUUGAUUAUCAAGUUGGCUUUUAAUUUCACUAUAUCUGCUCUGCCGCAGAUGUGUAUUUAUUCUUUUUAAAAGGCUUUGAUUGCAUUGUUUUUUCUUUGACAUUUUGGCCAUUUGAGUGACUUGAUGUGCUUGUAGCCUAAUGGUAUUCAAAAAUUAUGAAAUGGACAUGUGUCACGAAAGAUAGCCUCUUCAUGGUGAAAUUUAUGCAAAUUGAUAUGAAGACGAAGCUACUUAUCAAAAAAACAUAUAUGAUGACAAAGCUAAGGCCCUUUAUUCACACAUUUUUAAAAGAAGAACGUGAAAUGUUUGAGAUGUACAUUUAUACAAUGAGUGAUCACCCAUCGGCACUAUGCAAUGUAAAUGGCUAAGCUACUUGAUCCUUCACUAUGAGAUUUUUUUGUUCCAUAAUGCAUGAGGCGAACUGUAGGUAGGAAAGGUUUGGUAGUUAUUGGGGGAAAAUCCCUAUAACUUGGAAACUAAAUAGAGGCUCUCUUAUCAAUUUGAUUGAUUAUCAAGUUGGCUUUUAAUUUCACUAUAUCUGCUCUGCCGCAGAUGUGUAUUUAUUCUUUUUAAAAAGGCUUUGAUUGCAUUGUUUUUUCUUUGACAUUUUGGCCAUUUGAGUGACUUGAUGUGCUUGUAGCCUAAUGGUAUUCAAAAAUUAUGAAAUGGACAUGUGUCACGAAAGAUAGCCUCUUCAUGGUGAAAUUUAUGCAAAUUGAUAUGAAGACGAAGCUACUUAUCAAAAAAAACAUAUAUGAUGAAAAAGCUAAGGCCCUUUAUUCACACAUUUUUAAAAGAAGAAAGUGAAAUGUUUGAGAUGUACAUUUAUACAAUGAGUGAUCACCUAUCGGCACUAUGCAAUGUAAAUGGCUAAGCUACUUGAUCCUUCACUAUGAGAUUUUUUUGUUCCAUAAUGCAUGAGGCGAACUGUAGGUAGGAAAGGUUUGGUAGUUAUUGGGGGAAAAUCCCUAUAACUUGGAAACUAAAUAGAGGCUCUCUUAUCAAUUUGAUUGAUUAUCAAGUUGGCUUUUAAUUUCACUAUAUCUGCUCUGCCGCAGAUGUGUAUUUAUUCUUUUUAAAAAGGCUUUGAUUGCAUUGUUUUUUCUUUGACAUUUUGGCCAUUUGAGUGACUUGAUGUGCUUGUAGCCUAAUGGUAUUCAAAAAUUAUGAAAUGGACAUGUGUCACGAAAGAUAGCCUCUUCAUGGUGAAAUUUAUGCAAAUUGAUAUGAAGACGAAGCUACUUAUCAAAAAAACAUAUAUGAUGAAAAAGCUAAGGCCCUUUAUUCACACAUUUUUAAAAGAAGAAAGUGAAAUGUUUGAGAUGUACAUUUAUACAAUGAGUGAUCACCUAUCGGCACUAUGCAAUGUAAAUGGCUAAGCUACUUGAUCCUUCACUAUGAGAUUUUUUUGUUCCAUAAUGCAUGAGGCGAACUGUAGGUAGGAAAGGUUUGGUAGUUAUUGGGGGAAAAUCCCUAUAACUUGGAAACUAAAUAGAGGCUCUCUUAUCAAUUUGAUUGAUUAUCAAGUUGGCUUUUAAUUUCACUAUAUCUGCUCUGCCGCAGAUGUGUAUUUAUUCUUUUUAAAAAGGCUUUGAUUGUAUUGUUUUUUCUUUGACAUUUUGGCCAUUUGAGUGACUUGAUGUGCUUGUAGCCUAAUGGUAUUCAAAAAUUAUGAAAUGGACAUGUGUCACGAAAGGUAGCCUCUUCAUGGUGAAAUUUACGCAAAUUGAUAUGAAGACGAAGCUACCUAUCAAAAAAACAUAUAUGAUGACGAAACUAAGGCCCUUUAUUCACACAUUUUUAAAAGAAGAAAGUGAAAUGUUUGAGAUGUACAUUUAUACAAUGAGUGAUCACCUAUCGGCACUAUGCAAUGUAAAUGGCUAAGCUACUUGAUCCUCUAGGAGAGUACUUAAGUGCUAAAGUGAUUUCACGUAAGCAUGGCACCCAAGAACAUCAAAAGGGUCUUGAUAUCUUGCUUGGCCAAGAUAGUGCUAUAUUGAUUCUUGAUGAUGCAGAAGAUGUAGGUACAUCUGUGUUCAGCUGAAUAUCUAUGCUUAACCAAUUUAUUUUCACUUUAAUUAAUAUGAUAAUAUUUGUUACACAAUACUUUUGAUCUUACUGUUUUACCCACUAAAAGAAGAGGAAGUUCUUUCAACAUUAUGAGUCCUCUUAUUUGUAGGGAAGAGAGUCAGAUUAUGAAAAUGGGCCAUUUCAUCAUUAUUUGAAGUAUGUUGUAGUUUCAUUCUCAAAGGUUCUUGCUACAUCAUAUUAAACUAGACCUGUUUGUGUUUUGAAAUUAACUUGAACUCUUAUAAAAAAAGACAUGGUUUUGUAUCUACUCUAUGUGAAACACCAUAAAGAAGUAAACUUUAACUUUUCAGUUUUAAAUUAUAAGCUUUUUUUAUUCACUUUGGUUUCUCUUUAGUCAAACUAAGAAGGGUGAAGGAAAAUUAAAAAACAAAAAACAAAAAAUUGCUUAUGGAUUUUAUGAGAUGCAUACAUGUUGAUUGUGACUUUUAUACUGUAGAAUGAUGAAUAGAAUUGAGAAGUAAAUAUGACAUUGUUUAGGAGCCACUUGAAAUAGUGAAGAAGCCUAAAGGUUGCUUCUAAUGUUGCUGUACUUGGAUUAUUCAAAAGUUAUGUAGACAUGUUUAUGCAUUAAUAUGUGAUGUAUCUUUUUGGCAAAUUUUACAUAUAUGAGGUUCUUUGGUAAACAAUUUUUUUUUUUGGUUCUGUGUAUAUGUGUAAUUUUUGUUAUCUUAAUUUUUAUUUAUCAAAAACACAUCAUUUAUCCUAAUACUUGAAUGUCUAGACGAAGGAUUUGCACUUGAUCCAUUGAGACCAAAUUCGAUCAUGCAAGUGAUUCUGCUACCAAUAAAAAACUAGACUAUAACAUGAAAUUAAUUCUUUUACCUAAUUUUGUAGUCUAAUUGCAAAAUGAUUCUAAUUUUAGAGUUGAUCUCAUUUUCAGGAGCUUUUCCGUGCAUCGCACGGGUUAGCAAUUAGUGUAUAUAAAAACAAAAACAUUACCCAAAGCAAUAUAUUGUAGCUUACCAAAUGUUGCAGAAUCGAACGUACUCAAAUCAUCCUUCUGGUUAUGAUCGCCUGUGAUCACAGUUUGGUUGAUACCGUACCCAACCAUCAUCAAAUAUUGCUUGUUCUUAUCAAUGGAAACAUACUCAUAAUAAACCCCAGGUACAAUGUAAAUGACAAAGUAUCCAUCACUAAUAUCUGUAUUUUCUGGUGCAGCUGCUACAGCAUCAUUGAUAGUAGUGAAGUCUCCACUGCCAUCUGGGUUCACAAGUACCGUUUGGCUCACCAAUACAUCGCCAAGAGUUGUUUGAAGCAACCUUCUUCCAGUUAUAGACAUUCUUAAAGGCAAAAGACCAUUAAUAAUAUUUUCCAUAUUGGAAAAUAACAAAUGGUUUCUUUCUGUUGGAAAACUCUCUCUCUUUGUCUUUGGAACCCAACCAUGCUUAAAAAGCGCAAGCGAUAUGCUAUGAAGCUUAGUCCCAUUAGAGAGAGGACCCAACAUGCCUUUUUUAACGCUAGAGUCUGAUGCUAACUCUAGUAGGCCAUCAGAACAUGUUUCUUGGUUUGUCAAAGUGGCACUAAGCAGUGUAUGCAAAUCCUCAGCUUGCAAGCUAUUUAGGCUGUUUGUAGAGCUAAUAGUUCGCAAAGUUUUUGACAAGAAAUCCACGGUCAAGUCAGCUAAAAGCUGACAAUCUUUGAGGGCAUGAACGGUACGUUUAGAAUACGAGGAAUGUGAUAUUGGGUAUGAUUUGAUUAGCAAAAGAAAGUCUUUUGCUGAUGAUAAGGACUGGUGAAUGAAGUACCAGCCAUAGUCUUGAAUGGUGUUGAACUCAUUUGGUGGUAAGUUGGAUUUGCAGAAAGAUGGGUGGGGUGUGGAGUUGCAAAUGGUACUUGGGGAAGUAGAGGAGCUAGCAAGAGAAGGAGAGUAAGAGAAGAGCAUUAAUAGGAGAAAAAAGUUGCACAAUGGGGAGAGCUUGGAAGCCAUUGUCAUAGAAAUGUGUAUGCAAAAUAGGUGUGGCUGGUUGGUCUUAUAUAGAGAAUACAAUCAUACAUAUGAUACAAGAAAGAGAUAUUGAAUUUUAUCAUGUGCUCAAAAGCGUGUUUAUCUGUGUGUACUCUUCUUUUUUUAGUAUGCUAUUGUUCCAAUAA